rnacentral:rRNA from 1 species
GGUAGGCCUAACACAUGCAAGUCGAACGAGUGGCGGACGGGUGAGGAAUACAUCGGAAUCUACUCUGUCGUGGGGGAUAACGUAGGGAAACUUACGCUAAUACCGCAUACGAUUGAAUGAGCCGAUGUCGGAUUAGCUAGUUGGCGGGGUAAAGGCCCACCAAGGCGACGAUCCGUAGCUGGUCUGAGAGGAUGAUCAGCCACACUGGAACUGAGACACGGUCCAGACUCCUACGGGAGGCAGCAGUGGGGAAUAUUGGACAAUGGGCGCAAGCCUGAUCCAGCCAUACCGCGUGGGUGAAGAAGGCCUUCGGGUUGUAAAGCCCUUUUGUUGGGAAAGCGGUACCCAAAGAAUAAGCACCGGCUAACUUCGUGCCAGCAGCCGCGGUAAUACGAAGGGUGCAAGCGUUACUCGGAAUUACUGGGCGUAAAGCGUGCGUAGGUGGUUGUUUAAGUCUGUCGUGAAAGCCCUGGGCUCAACCUGGGAAUUGCGAUGGAAACUGGGCGACUAGAGUGUGGCAGAGGAUAGUGGAAUUCCUGGUGUAGCAGUGAAAUGCGUAGAGAUC